rnacentral:rRNA from 1 species
GACGAACGCUGGCGGCGUGCUUAACACAUGCAAGUCGAGCGGUAAGGCCCGUUUCGGGGGUACACGAGCGGCGAACGGGUGAGUAACACGUGGGUGACCUGCCCUCAGCUCUGGGAUAAGCCGUGGGAAACCGGGUCUAAUACUGGAUAUGACUCCAUGACGCAUGUUGGUGGGGUGGAAAGCCUUGUGCGGCUGAGGAUGGGCCCGCGGCCUAUCAGCUUGUUGGGUGGGGUGANGGCCUACCAAGGCGACGACGGGUAGCCGGCCUGAGAGGGCGACCGGCCACACUGGGACUGAGACA